rnacentral:rRNA from 1 species
GGGUCAGUAGGUUGGACGUGCCACCGGUACGUACUGGUCUCACUGAUUCCUCCUUCCUGAGGAACCGUAAUGCCAUUAAUUUGGUGUUGCGGGGAAACAGGACUGUUACUUUGAAAAAAUUAGUGUGUUUAAAGCAAGCUAACGCUUGAAUACAUUAGCAUGGAAUAAUGAAAUAGGACGAUCGAUCCUAUUUUGUUGGUUUCUAGGAUUGACGUA